GAUGAACGCUGACAGAAUGCUUAACACAUGCAAGUCCACUUGAACUUCGGUUUGGGUGGCGGACGGGUGAGUAACGCGUAAAGAACUUGCCUCACAGAUAGGGACAACAUUUGGAAACGAAUGCUAAUACCUGAUAUUAUGAUUAUAUGGCAUCGUAUAAUUAUGAAAGCUAUAUGCGCUGUGAGAGAGCUUUGCGUCCCAUUAGCUAGUUGGAGAGGUAACGGCUCACCAAGGCGAUGAUGGGUAGCCGGCCUGAGAGGGUGAUCGGCCACAAGGGGACUGAGACACGGCCCUUACUCCUACGGGAGGCAGCAGUGGGGAAUAUUGGACAAUGGACCAAGAGUCUGAUCCAGCAAUCCUGUGUGCACGAUGAAGUUUUUCGGAAUGUAAAGUGCUUUCAGUUGGGAAGAAAAAAAUGACGGUACCAACAGAAGAAGUGACGGCUAAAUACGUG
rnacentral:rRNA from 1 species